rnacentral:rRNA from 1 species
AGAUGGGCUCGCGUCCGAUUAGGUAGUUGGUGAGGUAACGGCUCACCAAGCCGACGAUCGGUAGCCGGACUGAGAGGUCGAACGGCCACAUUGGGACUGAGACACGGCCCAGACUCCUACGGGAGGCAGCAGUGGGGGAUAUUGCACAAUGGGGGAAACCCUGAUGCAGCGACGCCGCGUGUGGGAAGACGGUCCUCUGGAUUGUAAACCACUGUCCCCAGGGACGAAGAUGACGGUACCUGGGGAGGAAGCUCCGGCUAACUACGUGCCAGCAGCCGCGGUAAUACGUAGGGAGCGAGCGUUGUCCGGAAUUACUGGGUGUAAAGGGAGCGUAGGCGGGACUGCAAGUUGGGUGUCAAAUCUACCGGCUCAACCGGUAGCCGCACUCAAAACUGCAGUUCUUGAGUGAAGUAGAGGCAGGCGGAAUUCCUAGUGUAGCGGUGAAAUGCGUAGAUAUUAGGAGGAACACCAGUGGCGAAGGCGGCCUGCUGGGCUUUUACUGACGCUGAGGCUCGAAAGUGUGGGGAGCAAACAGGAUUAGAUACCCUGGUAGUCCACACCGUAAACGAUG